UGGGGAAUUUUUGGACAAUGGGCGCAAGCCUGAUCCAGCCAUGCCGCGUGAGUGAAGAAGGCCUUCGGGUUGUAAAGCUCUUUCGGCCGGAACGAAAUCGCAACGUUUAAUAGGCGUUGUGGAUGACGGUACCGGAAUAAGAAGCACCGGCUAACUACGUGCCAGCAGCCGCGGUAAUGCGUAGGGUGCGAGCGUUAAUCGGAAUUACUGGGCGUAAAGCGUGCGCAGGCGGUUUGUUAAGCCAGAUGUGAAAGCCCCGGGCUCAACCUGGGAACUGCGUUUGGUACUGGCAAGCUAGAGUACGGCAGAAGGGGGUGGAAUUCCACGUGUAGCAGUGAAAUGCGUAGAGAUGUGGAGGAACACCGAUGGCGAAGGCAGCCCCCUGGGCCGAUACUGACGCUCAGGCACGAAAGCGUGGGGAGCAAACAGGAUUAGAUACCCUGGUAGUCCACGCCCUAAACGAUGCGAACUAGUCGUUGGGAGUAGCAAUACUUUAGUGACGCAG
rnacentral:rRNA from 1 species